GGGAGCUUGGUCUAGUGGUAUGAUUCCUCAUUCGGGUUGAGGAGGUCACUGGUUCGAUUCCGGUAGUUCCCC
rfam:Nannochloropsis gaditana strain B-31 unplaced genomic scaffold NG_contig00658, whole genome shotgun sequence.